GGUCAAUGAUGAGAUGUAAAAGGUCUGAAGCCGUCAUGUCCCAUCAGUCUCUCCACCCCUCCCAGCAGCCACUGUUCAUUUCCCAGCAUGCUCAAGUCGUGUUUUGCUGGUUUAAGGCGGCAGCUGAUAUUCUGGACAUUUCUGCUGUAUUUAAGAGUCUCUUAGAGAAUAACGUGAGAUCUUGACUGCAGUGUCCGACAUCGUCACAACACACAGGAGGGUGAGACUGAUGUCGAACUUUAAACCGGCACGUGAUCUCUAGUUUUCAAGCUGAGACC